rnacentral:rRNA from 1 species
AACUAACCAGGAUUCCCCUAGUAACGGCGAGUGAAGAGGGAAGAGCCCAGCACCGAAGCCUGUGGCCGUUUGGUCACUAGGCAAUGUGGUGUUUAGGUUGGUCUUGCGAAGUCAUUGCUCUGCUCAAAGUCCUGUUAUGAAUACGGUUUUAUGGACAUAGCCCACAGAGGGUGAAAGGCCCGUGUGAGCGGAGACAUCGGCAGUGGCUUCCUUGAUCGACCUUGGAGUCGGGUUGUUUGAGAAUGCAGCCCAAAGUGGGUGGUAAACUCCAUCCAAGGCUCAAUACUGGCACGAGUCCGAUAGCGAACAAGUACCGUGAGGGAAAGUUGAAAAGUACUCUGAAGAGAGAGUAAACAGUACGUGAAACUGCUCAGAGGUAAACGGAUAGAGUUGAACUGCAAGCCCGAAAGAUUCAGCUGGUGAACAUAACUUGAGCUUGGUCAUAAUGGUCGGCUUCAGGGGUCUGCUUAAAUGCGGGUCGCUGCCCUUGGGUGGCGAUUAGCGAUGCACUUAUCAUGUGUUGCUUGUCUUUGUUGUCGCGGACCAGUUUGCCAGUGCACUUCUUCCGGGUCAUCACCACGACCGGCGCUGCUGUCUGUCUGCUGUCACAUUUGAAAGGUAGCUUGUUAGCCUUCGGGCUUCCAAGUGUAAUAAUCAGUGGCAGUGGAGCUGUGCAGUGUGUCGGAGACGGCGGCUUUGAUGUCGUUGUGAGUGCACAUGUGUGCUUGCGAUGAUGCAUUAUUGGGCCAAUAGUCUGUGGUGUAGUGGUAAGCUCUCUAUCCGACCCGUCUUGAAACACGGACCAAGGAGUUUAACAUGUGCGCGAGUCAUUGGGUUCUACGAAACCUACAGGCGCAGUGAAAGUAAAUGUUUGGCUUGUCCGAACUGAGGUGAGAUCUUGUCGUUUCUCAUGCGUGGUACUACCAAGUAUUCGAGCGGCAGGCGCAUCACCGGCCCGUCCCAUGGUGUGGUCAUGGUUCCUUUUGGCACUAUGCGUCACCGGGGCGGAGCAUGAGCGUACAUGUUGAGACCCGAAAGAUGGUGAACUAUGCUUGUGCAGGUUGAAGCCAGAGGAAACUCUGGUGGAGGACCGCAGCGAUUCUGACGUGCAAAUCGAUCGUCAAACAUGAGCAUAGGGGCGAAAGACUAAUCGAACC